rnacentral:lncRNA from 1 species
AUGGUUGUACAAAAAAUCUUAUGGCAACAACAAGAAUGUACCUCCAUCGCCACCGAAGCUACCGAUAAUCGGAAAUCUCCACCAACUCGGCUCAUUGCCUCACCGCAAUCUCCAAUCCUUAGCGAAAAAAUACGGACCAAUCAUGCUUCUCCACUUCGGAAGUAAACCUACUCUCAUUGUUUCAUCUGCAGAUGCAGCCCGAGAGAUAAUGAAAACCCACGAUCUCGUCUUUUCCGAUCGGCCCGACUCAAGUGUCGGUAAGCGGCUACUCUACAACUGUAAAGAUGUAUCCAUCGCUCCGUACGGCGAGUACUGGAGGCAGUUGAAGAGUAUAUGUGUUCUUCAACUACUUAGUAACAAAAGGGUUCAAUCUUUUCAUUACAUCAGGGAAGAAGAAACAGCCCUUUUGAUGAAAAGGAUCGAAAGAGAAUAUUCCACCGGUUCGAUGGAUUUGAGUGAGAUGCUUACUCAGUUUACCAAUGAUGUGGUUUGUAGAUCAGCUUUUGGAAAAAAGUAUAGUGCAGUGGAAAAUGGCAAGAAAUUUAUUUUACUGUUGAAGGAAUUGUUGGAGCUUUUGGGGACUAUUAGUAUCGGAGAUUUUGUUCCGAUGCUUUCGUGGAUUAAUCGAGUCAACGGUUUCGAUGCGAGAGUUGGUAAGGUUGCUAGAGAAUUUGAUGAAUUCUUCGAGGGAGUGAUACGUGAGCGCAUGGAAAAUCCAAAGACAUUACAUGGAGAUAAUUUUCUUGAUAUUUUGCUUCACAUUUAUCAGAAUAAUUCCACCGGAGUAGCGAUUGACAGGGACAGUAUCAAAGGAAUAAUUCUUGUAAGUACAUUUGGUUUUAGAAUCUAUUACAUUCAACACCUCUGUUAUUCCGUCUAAUUGCUAAAAAAUCUUUCCGUGUGUAAAUAUUAGCAAAAUCCUCGUGAUGCAUCUUAUUUUAGAAAACUACCACCUAAAACUCACAAUUUAGGAGGUUGUCUGCUAAAAUAAAUACACCAUAUGGGCAUUUUUGCUAAUAUUAAAAUACGAAGAGUUUUUUAGCAAUUCAAUAUAAUUUGGGGGUAGUUUUUAUGGGAUUAGUGUACUUAAGUAACUUAUAAUCUCGGGAUAAUAAUUACAUUUUUAGUCCUACACUGGUUAUUGAGAUGCUGCACCGGGUCAUAUAAAUAAGAUGAUUUUUAACUAUUGAUCUGGUUAAAUAACUAUCCACUAAACACAUAUACACAUGAGUGUGUGUGAUUACGUACAAACAGACAAUUAUUUAAUCAGUCGAUAUAUUUUACCGAGUGUGGCAUCAAGUAAACCGUCCAGCAUCUUAAUGGAUUUCACUUCUCAAACAAAUUUGGCCAACCCCCGCCCAACAUUUUUUGUCAUGCUAUCAACUUCUUGAUUAAAAUGGGCAGAAUUAUCACGUGGUGCCAGGAUAAUUACAAUAUUUGGUCCUUAUGCUAUAUCAUUUAUUCGAUUUUCAUCCUUAUACAAUUGAGAUCACAUUUUAGUCCUUACUGUUGACACUCAACACGUCUUUUACAGUUUUUGUUGGCUGUCUACUUGUGGCGUUAAAUUUGACAGAAAAACUUGCGUAUUUUGCACGUGUCACCCAUUUCAACACCCAUCUUACAUAUUUCCUAUUUUGCCCCCAUUUCACUUGAUUCCUAAUUUUUUUUCAAAAGUUCAAAUUCAAGGUGUGCACCUCACGUGACAAUUUCAUCCAUUGUAACCAAGAAAGUUGACGGCCUGACAAAAGUGUAAAAAAGUGGCAUGUUCAUCCAUCAUGGUCAAAAAUUGUUCGAAACUGAAAUCAUUUUAGGUGCUAAGUAUAGUAACUGAAAAUGUAAUUUAAUUAUCCCUCUAAUCACAUAUUCCAACAUACAUUAUUUUCUUGUCAUGUGUAUUCUUCGACAGGAUGUAUUUGCAGCUGGAACCGACACCACAUCGACACUUCUAGAGUGGGAAAUGACCGAACUCUUACGAAACCCUACAAUCAUGAAAAAAUUGCAACACGAAGUACGACAAGCAGUUAAAGACAAAAACGGCAUAAUAACCGAGGACGACCUGGAAAAAAUGCACUACCUGAAAGCCGUAAUAAAAGAAACUCUCCGCCUCCACGCACCAAUCCCAUUGCUAGUACCUCGGGUAGCGAGAAAAGACGUAAAAGUUAUGGGGUACGAUAUUUCAGCCGGAACAUUGGUGAUGACUAAUGGUUGGGCCAUUGGCAGGGACCCUGCCAGCUGGAACGAACCGGAGAAGUUUGAUCCCGACAGGUUUUUGGAUUCCAGGGUGGAUUAUCAGGGCCUGGAUUUUGAGCUGAUACCGUUUGGCGCCGGACGAAGGGGCUGCCCUGGAAUUUCGUUUGCAAUGGCUACUAACGGUUUCUUGUUGGCGAAUCUUGUGCGGGAAUUUGAUUGGGCGUUGCCUGAUGACAUGGAGGAUUUGGACAUGAGUGAAGGCCCUGGGGUUGUCAUGCACAAGCUUGUUCCUCUUGUUGCAGUUGCCAAACACUAAGCUACUACUAUGUUUAAUUGAUGAAAUAAUUAAUCUUAUAUUUACUUGCAUUUUAUUUGUUUUAGGACAAAAUGCAAUUCACCCCUACAAAUUUUUCAUUUUUGCAUUUCCCCCCUAAAAAUUCAAAAACUGGACAAUCCCCCUUUAAAAUAUUAUCUUGGUUGCACUUUGCCCCAGAAGCCAUUUUUUUGGUUGGCAUUGUGCAACAAAAAUAACAUUUUAAAGGGGCCAUGUGCAAAAAUAUAGUGUUUUUAAGGGGUAACGCGCAACAAAUAUAAUAUAUAAAGGGGCAAUGUGCAACAAAAAUACUCAAAUGCCAUCCAUCGAAAUUUUGCUAUGGGGGCAAUGUGCAACAAGAAUAACAUUUUGAAGGGGGCAUUCACUUUUUAAAUUUUUUAGGGGGUAAAGUGUAAAAAAUAGAAAUUUCUAGGGGGUGAUGUGCAAUUUUCCCUUUGUUUAAUGAGUAAAAAUGCAAAAAAAAAAAAAAAAAAAAAACAUUUGUAAUUGGUAAAGGUCAAAAAAACCCCUUGGAAAAAAAAUAAGUGGCAAAAACCACCUUGUAUUCGGUAGUCAAAGGCAAACAACCCCUUCGCGCUCGUCGGUUUCAUUCGCUCGCUGUUUGUGCGACUGCUCGUCGGAAGUGAUACUGUGGCGGCGCCAGCGAUCGAGGAAAAGUGAAAAUGCGGUGGCGGCAACGAUUGAGAAUAGAGGGAAAACAAGAUGGGGCAGGUGUGGUGGAGUUUGCUGCCUCAAAAUGCACAUCUAAAAUGGUGUUCGACAUGGCGGUGACUAUGGAGGAGGCUAAGGAAAUGAGUAAUAUGAAAAAAAUACCUAUGUGUAAUUUCCAAAUAGCAAAAAAAAACCCUGUGAUAAAUAAAGUAGCAAAAAUUCUCCUUGAAAUUUAGUCAAAGGCAAAAACCCCCUGGUUAACUUUCGUCACUUGCUGGAUGUGCGGCUGGUAGCUGAUUUUUGGACGUAAAAUGACGAAAUUGUCCCUCAAAAUGUAUUUAUAUAUGUUUUUUUCUUUUUAAUUUGAUUCUUUAAAAAUUAAAAUAUUAUUAAAAAAUUAGUAAACAAUUAAAUUGAAAAAUUAUUAAAAAUUUGGUGAUCAAAUGAAGUAUAGGUUUUCUUAAGUACAUAAUAAUGGAAUUUAAGUUUUGUUUUGAUGUAGGGAUAAUUUCAAAUAUAUACAUAAAUUACCAGAUAAUAAAAAUAGAAAUAAAUAAAACACCCCAUUGUACCUUUAUAAUUAAGAUAAUAACAAAAAAUAAAAUAAUUAAAAUAUUUUUAAAAUAUAAGAAUUUAGUAAUUUGCAAAACCCUGUGGGUAUAUGUGUCUUUUUAUAUCAAUUCAACACUCAAAUAAGUAAUGGGCCGAAUGUGCUAUAUAAAAAAAUUCACAGGGAGGUUUUUUGCUAGUUUAUUUAUCGCAAGGAUUUUUUUGCUGCUGAAGCUUACACAUGAGUACUUUUUGCGGUUUACUCAUAAGGAAAGGAAAUGGUGUCUAGUUGCAGAUUUAAGAAUAUUAUUACUUUGUGUUUUUGGGUUUCAAUGUGAGAGAGGGCUUUAAUAAAAAUAUCAGGGACUGAAUUGAAAAUUUUAAAAACUUCAUUUUGGGACAAACAAAAAUUCUGGGGUGAAUCUAUAAUUUUCAAAAUUUCUGAUCCAAAGGGUAUUGAUCCAUUGGAUAUUUUCGAUUAAAAUUUUAUUUCUUUUGGAGGGUUUUUUGUCUGCACUACACCUUUCUUCUGUCUGGCUAUUUUUUCCUAUAUUUUAUUCUAUUUCACCACUUAAAUCAAGAAAUGUAUUUUCUAUAAAAAAAAAAAAAAAAAAAAAAAGAUAUUUGAUAUGAUGAUAUCCAUCAAAAUACGUGCACAAAUUUCUUUGUUAUCUUGGUUGGAUCCAUUCGAUACGUUAACAUCAUACAGCGAUGUGCACCACAUUUAAUUAACUCUUUUUGUCUAACAUAUUCAUCAAUAUCCAUUCACGAGAAUAGAAUAAUAUUAUAUAAAUAUUAGGACAGACCAAAUCAUCUUUUGCAACUUUAGAUACGACAACAGCUGGACAAGGGACUUCAGAAUAAAUGAUUUUUUUUUUUAAUCUGCACUUCGGAAUAAUUUAAUUCACCCCUAAACAAAAACUUAAUUCACCCAUAAUUCCAUCGGAUGGUGCACUAGAUUAUUUAUACUGAAUGAAUUUCGACCGUAGAUUUACAAAUAAUCACACGCACAUGUAUAUGUGUGCUUAAUAAGAUGUUAUUUAAUCAAAUUUUACGAUAAAAAAUUACCUAGCAUAAAUAAUCAGGUGUAACAUCUAAUUCUCCUUUCACCGAGUCCCAUAUAUAUAUAUAUAUAUAUAUAUAUAUAUAUAUAUAUAUAUAUAUAAUAAUCUGUUUGCCAGAAAAUUUCCUUUCUAACAAGUGGAACAACUUUUGAAAUUUUGGGCAAUUUUGCACAAGUCAGCUCUUUGUAUGAGCAAACAAACACACACCACACACUUGACACCCACAUGCACAAACACUUGGAGAUAAGCUCGUAAGCACAAAAUAUAAGAUAAUGGAAAAAUACAGUUUUCGUCCCUCAAGUUUGCACCGAUUUCAUAUUUGACAACCUGUGUUCACAAAAAACACAUUUGGUCCCUCGUGUUUAAAAAAUUCAACAUUUUUAGUCAUUUCCGACAAUUUUCCGUUAAACCUAACGGAACCAAGUGUGUGCCCAUCAAUGAGUUAACUGACAUACUAACGGUAAAUUGACGGAGAUUACUAAAAGCGUUAAAUUAUUGAAACGUGAGAGACCAAAUGUAUUUUUUGUAAACAUAUGGGACCAAAUGUGAAAUGAGUGCAUACUUGAGGGAUGAAAACUGUAAUUUUACAGAUAAGAUAUAGAUAACUAAACCAUGUCCAAAUUGCAACUUCACUCACAACAAAAAACUCAAGAAACAAUGCAAUUCCAUCCCUUCACAUUAAUAAUCCAAGCUCUCCUAUCUUUAUUCUUGAUCUCUUACAUCACAAAAUGGCUGUACAAAAAAACUUAUGGCAACAAAAAGAAUUUGCCUCCAUCACCACCAAAGCUGCCGAUACUCGGAAAUCUCCACCAACUCGGCUUAUUACCUCACCGCAAUCUCCAAUCCUUAGCGAAAAAAUACGGACCGAUCAUGCUUCUCCACUUCGGCAAUAAACCUACGCUUAUCGUCUCGUCGGCCGAUUCAGCCCGAGAGAUAAUGAAAACGCAUGACGUCAUCUUUUCCGAUCGGCUUGAAUCAAGUGUCGGUAAGCGGCUACUCUACAAUUGUAAAGACGUAUCCAUCGCUCCGUACGGCGAAUACUGGAGGCAGCUGAAGAGUAUAUGUGUUCUUCAACUGCUUAGUAACAAAAGGGUUCAAUCUUUUCAUUACAUCAGGGAGGAAGAAACAGCCCUUUUGAUGAAAAGGAUCAAAAGAGAAUAUCCCACCGGUUCGAUCGAUUUGAGUGAGAUGCUUACUCAGUUUACUAAUGACGUGGUUUGUAGGUCAGCUUUCGGGAAGAAGUAUAGUGCAGUGGAAAAUGGCAAGAAAUUUAUUUUACUGUUGAAGGAAUUGUUGGAGCUUUUGGGGACUAUUAGUAUCGGAGAUUUUGUUCCGAUGCUUUCGUGGAUUAAUCGAGUCAACGGUUUCGAUGCGAGGGUUGACAAGGUUGCGAGAGAAUUUGAUGAAUUCUUCGAGGGAGUGAUACGCGAGCGCAUGGAAAAUCCGAAGAAAUUACAUGGAGAUAAUUUUCUUGAUAUUUUGCUUCACAUUUAUCAGAAUAAUUCCACCGGAGUAACGAUUGACAGGGACAGUAUCAAAGCAAUAAUUCUUGUAAGUACAUUUGGUUUUCGGGUUUAUUGCAUUCAACACCCCUGUUUUUUUUUUCGUCUAAUUGCUAAAAAAAGCUUUCCGUACGUAAAUAUUUACAAAAUCCUCAUGAGAUGCAUCUUGUUUUGAAAACUUCACCCCUAAAAACUCACAAUUUAGGGGGUUGUGUGCUAAAAUAUAUACAUCAUAGGGGGAUUUUUGCUAAUAUUUAUAACAUGAAGAGUUUUUUUAGUAAUUUAAUAUAACUUUAGGGGUAUUAAAUGAAAUAAACUCUUAGUUUUUAUAGGAUAGUUAAUUACAUUUUUAGUCCUAUACUAGUACCUUAAUUGAUUUCAGUUCUCAAACAAAUUUGGCCGCAAUAUUAGUCUUUAAACUUGCCGUUUUUUUUUACAUUUUCCGUCAUGCCGUCAACUUCUUGAUUAAAAUGGACAGAAUCAUCACGUGAUGUCAGGAUAAUUACAAUAUUUGGUCCUUAUGCUAUAUCAAUUAUUCGAUUUUCGUCUCUAUACAAUUGAGAUCACGAUUUUAGUAUUUACUGUCGACAUGUCCUUUACAGUUUUCGUCGGCUGUCUUUUUGUGGAGUUAAAUUCGACAGCAAAUAUUGCGUGUUUUGCGCGUGUCACCCAUUCCAACACCCAUCUUACAUAUAUUCUUGAUUUCGCCCCAAUAUAUUCCUAUUUUUUUUGAAAUUGAAAGUGUGCACCUCACGUGACAAUUUCGUCCAUUGUAACCAAGAACGUUGACGACGGCUUGACAAAAGUGUAAAAAAAUGGCAUUUUUAUCAUGGUCAAAAAUUGUUCGAGAACUGAAAUCGUUUUAGGUGCUAAGUAUAGUAACUGAAAAUAUAAUUUAUCCUUCUAAUCACAUAAUUACAAUAUACAUUUUUUUCUUGUCACAUGUAUUCUUCGACAGGAUGUAUUUGCAGCUGGAACCGACACCACGUCGACACUUCUAGAAUGGGAAAUGACGGAACUCUUACGAAACCCUACGAUCAUGAAAAAAUUGCAACACCAAGUACGAGAAGUAGUUAAAGACAAAAACGGCAUAAUAACGGAGAACGACCUGGAAAAGAUGCCUUAUCUCAAAGCUGUAAUAAAAGAAACUCUCCGCCUCCACGCACCGAUCCCAUUGCUACCUCGGGUAGCAAGAAAAUACGUAAAAGUUAUGGGGUACGAUAUUUCAGCCGGAACAUUGGUGAUGACUAAUGUUUGGGCCAUCGGCAGGGACCCUGCCAGCUGGCAUGAGCCGGAAAAGUUUGAUCCCGACAGGUUUUUUGAUUCCAGGGUGGAUUACCAGGGCCUGGAUUUUGAGCUUAUCCCGUUUGGCGCCGGAAGAAGGGGUUGUCCUGGAAUUUCGUUCGCUACGGCUACUAAUGGUUUCUUGUUGGCGAAUCUUGUGCGGGAAUUCGAUUGGGCGUUGCCUGAUGACGUGGAGGAUUUGGAUAUGAGUGAACGCCCUGGUGUUGCUAUUCACAGGGCUGUUCCUCUUGUUGCAGUUGCCAAACAGUACUACUAUGUUUAAUUGAGGAAAUCAUUUAUCUCAAAUUUACUUGCUUAUUACUUGUUUUAUUAUGAGUAAAAUGCAGAAAAAAAAUGUGGAAUUCGUAAAGGUCAAAAAACCCCUUGGAAAAGAAUUAAGUAGCAAAAACAACUUUGUAAUCGGUGGUCAAAGGCAAACAACCCCUUCGCGCUCGUCCGUGUCAUUCACUCGCUGUUUGUGCGACUGCUCGUCGGAAGUGAUGCUACGGUGGCGCCAGCGAUCGAGGAAAAGUGAAUGCGUGGCGGGAACGAUUGAGAAUAGAGGGAAAACAAGAUGGGGCGGGGGUGGUGGAGUUUGCUGCCUCAAAAUGCACAUCUAAAAAAUGGUGUGUGACAUGGCGGUGGCUAUGGAGGAGGGCUACGGAAAUGAGUAAUAUGCAAAAAAUACCAAUUUGUAAUUUCCAAAUAGCAAAAAAAAAAAACCUGUGAUAAAUAAAGUAGCAAAAAUCCUCCUAGAAAUUUAGUAAAAGACAGAAACUUCCUGGUUGACUUUCGUGUGGCUCACUUGCUGGAUGUGCGGCUGGUAGCUGAUUUUUGGACGUGAAAUGACGAAAUUGUCCCUCAAAAUGUAUUUAUAUGUAUAUAUUUUUUUCUUUUUAAUUUGAUUGUUUAGAAAUAAAAAUCUUAUUAAAGAAAUUGUGAACAAUUAAAUUGAAAAAAUAUUAAAAAUUUGGUAAUAAAAUGAAUUAUAGGUUAUUUUAAAUACAUAAUAAUGGAUAUUAAGUUUUGUUUUAAUGUAGGGAUAAUUUAAAAUAUAUACAGACAUUUUCAGGUAAUAAAAAUAGAAAUAAAUUAAAGACCCUAUUGUACCUUUAUAAUUAAGAUAUAACAAAAAUAAAAUAAUUAAAAUAUUUGUAAAAUAUAAGAAUUUAUUAAUUUUUAAAACUCUGGGGUAUUUGUGUCUUUUUAUAUCAAUUCAACACUCAAAUGAAUAAUUGACCGAAUGUGCUAUAUAAAAAAAUUCACGGGGUUUUUUUGCUAGUUUAUUUAUCACAGAUUUUUUUGCGGUACUUUUGCGGUUUACUCCUAAGGAAAUGGUGGCUAGUUGCAGAUUUAAGAAUAUUAUUACUUUGUGUUUUUGGGUUUCAAUGUGAGAGAGGGCUUUAAUAAAAAUAUCAGGGACUGAAUUGAAAAUUUUAAAAACUUCAUUUUGGGACAAACAAAAAUUCUGGGGUGAAUCUAUAAUUUUCAAAAUUUCUGAUCCAAAGGGUAUUGAUCCAUUGGAUAUUUUCGAUUAAAAUUUUAUUUCUUUGGAGGGUUUUUUCUGUCUGCACUACACCUUUCUUCUGUCUGGCUAUUUUUUCCUAUAUUUUAUUCUAUUUCACCACUUAAAUCAAGAAAUGUAUUUUCUAUAAUAUGCGACAAAAAAAAAAAAAAAAAUCAAAGAUAUUUGAUAUGAUGAUACCAUCAAAAUAUGUGCACAAAUUUCUUUAUUAUCUUAGUUGGAUCCAUUCGAUACGUUAACAUCAUACAACGACGUGCACCACAUUUAAUUAACUCAUUUUGUCAAUAUAUUCAUCAAUAUCCAUUCACGAGAAUAGAAUAAUAUUAUAUAUUUAUUAGGACAGACCAAAUCAUCUUUUGCAACUUUAGAUACGACAACAGCUGGACAAGGGACUUCAGAAUAAAUGAUUUUUUUUUUUUUUUUUAAUCUGCACUUCGGAAUAAUUUAAUUUACCCAUAAACAAAAACUUAAUUCACCCAUAAUUCCAUCGGAUGACCGCAUGAAUUUCGACCAUAGAUUUACACAUAAUCAUAUGCAUAUGUAUAUGCGUGCUUAAUAAGUGAUUAUUUAAUUAAAUUUACGAUUAAAAACCACCACAGCGUAAAUAAUCAGGUGUAACAUCUAAUUCCCCUUUCGCCGAGUCCCACACACGUAUAUAUAUAUAUUAAUAAUAAUAAUAAGUUUGCCAGAAAAUUUCCUUUCUAACAAGUGGAACAACUUUUGAAAUUCUGGGCAAUUUUGCACCAAGUCAGCUCUUUGUAUGAGCAAACAAACACACACCACACACUUGACACCCACAUGCACAAACACUUUGAGAUAAGCUCGUACGCACAAAACAUAACAUAUGAGAAAAAUAUAAGUUCUUGUCCCUCAAGUUUACACAUAAUUCAUAUUUGGUUCUUGUGUUCACAAAUAACACAUUUGGUCCCUCUUGUUUAAAAAAUUCAACAUUUUAAGUUAUUCCUCUCAAUUUUCCGUUAAAACUAUGAAAUCAAGCGUGUGUCCAUCAAUGAAUUAACUGACAUACUAACGGUAAAUUGACGGAGAUUACCAACAGCGUUAAAUUAUUAAAACAUAGAUGACCAAAUGUAUUUUUUAUGAACAUAGGAGAUCAAAUGUGCAAUAAGUGCAAACUUGAGGGAUAAAAACUGUAAUAUUUGCCAUAAGAUAUACAUAACUAAAUCAUGUCCAUAUUCCAUCUUCACAUACAGCAAAAAAUUCAAGAAAUAAUGCAAUUCCAUCCCUUCACAUUAAUAAUCCAAGCUCUCCUAUCUUUAUUCUUGAUCUCUUACAUCACAAAAUGGCUGUACAAAAAAACUUAUGGCAACAAAAAGCAUUUGCCUCCGUCACCGCCGAAGCUACCGAUACUCGGAAAUCUCCACCAGCUCGGCUUAUUACCUCACCGCAAUCUCCAAUCCUUAGCGAAAAAAUACGGACCGAUCAUGCUUCUCCACUUCGGCAAUAAACCUACGCUUAUCGUCUCGUCGGCCGAUUCAGCCCGAGAGAUAAUGAAAACGCAUGACGUCAUCUUUUCCGAUCGGCUUGAAUCGAGUGUGAAUAAACGGUU